rnacentral:rRNA from 1 species
CGUGCGGUCCUAUUUUGUUGGUUUCUAGGAUCGCCGUAAUGAUUAAUAGGGAUAGUUGGGGGCAUUCGUAUUCAAUUGCUAGAGGUGAAAUUCUUGGAUUUAUUGAAGACGAACUACUGCGAAAGCAUUUGCCAAGGAUGUUUUCAUUGAUCAAGAACGAAGGUUAGGGGAUCGAAAACGAUCAGAUACCGUUGUAGUCUUAACAGUAAACGAUGCCGACUAGGGAUCGGACGAGGAUUUUUAAUGACUCGUUCGGCACCUGAAGAGAAAUCUUUAAGUCUAGGUUCGGGGGGGAGUAUGGUCGCAAGGCUGAAACUUAAAGAAAUUGACGGAAGGGCACCACCAUGGUGUGGAGCCUGCGGCUUAAUUUGACUCAACACGGGGAAACUC